rnacentral:lncRNA from 1 species
GUGUAUUUUCCCUCUGGGGGAACAAACAUUAUGCUUAAUCAAGCACCUUAGAGGAUAAACCUUACUAGAAACUGACACUGAAUACAAGUGAAACUGAUUUGUUCUGUCAUUUCUGUUGUGCAUGUGCUGAAGAGAUGAGUCAAAUGCAGGAGAGGGCCAGCAUAAACAGAGAACAGUAACACAAAACUACAUCAGGAAGCUGUGGGUUUAACAGGACAGGUUCUAAAAUCCAGAGUGAGAGUCCUCAAAUGUGGAUUGUGUUCCUGAUACAAUGUGUCAAGUGUCCCCCCCUAUGGAGAGGAAAAUAAAUUGAAGGAAGUAACAGAGGACAGUAACCAAGAGUUGGAGAAACAGAACUAUGGAAGAUGGAUGAGUCUAUGUAAAGUUUGGGAAGUGAGGAAGCUCAGCAUUUCACGGAUCAGAUGAGGGGACAAGCGUCCUACGAUCAGGAUCAGACUGAGGAAAAGAAAGCUGUUCUUGAUCUGGAAAUGGUUCCAAACCAUGUGAGAAAUGUCACCCACUUGGAAAGAGUUCUGUGUGGGUUUUCUCUUUAGAUACAAAAAGCAGCUCUGAAAGGCAAACCAGAUCAUCUGCAUGCACUUGGGGCUGGCCUGUGCCUCUCUGGGUGCAUCCAGGGAAAGGUAAGAGUUAAGUGUGGCACA